rnacentral:rRNA from 1 species
CGGACGGGUGAGUAACGCGUGGGUAACCUGCCCUGUACAGGGGGAUAACAGUUGGAAACGGCUGCUAAAACCGCAUAACAUGGAGAUACCGCAUGAUAUUUCCAUCAAAUAUUUAUAGGUACAGGAUGGGCCCGCGUCUGAUUAGCCAGUUGGCAGGGUAAUGGCCUACCAAAGCGACGAUCAGUAGCCGGCUUGAGAGAGUGACCGGCCACAUUGGGACUGAGACACGGCCCAGACUCCUACGGGAGGCAGCAG